rnacentral:rRNA from 1 species
GACGAACGCUGGCGGCGUGCUUAACACAUGCAAGUCGAACGGUAAGGCCCUUCGGGGUACACGAGUGGCGAACGGGUGAGUAACACGUGGGUGAUCUGCCCUGCACUUCGGGAUAAGCCUGGGAAACUGGGUCUAAUACCGGAUAGGACCACUGCCUGCAUGGGUGGUGGUGGAAAGCUUUUGCGGUGUGGGAUGGGCCCGCGGCCUAUCAGCUUGUUGGUGGGGUGAUGGCCUACCAAGGCGACGACGGGUAGCCGGCCUGAGAGGGUGACAGGCGAAACUGGGACUGGGAUACGGCCCAGACUCCUACGGGAGGCAGCAGUGGGGAAUAUUGGACAAUGGGCGCAAGCCUGAUGCAGCGACGCCGCGUGCGGGAUGAAGGCCUUCGGGUUGUAAACCGCUUUCAGCAGGGACGAAAUUGACGGUACCUGCAGAAGAAGCCCCGGCCAACUACGUGCCAGCAGCCGCGGUAA